rnacentral:rRNA from 1 species
CCUACGGGAGGCAGCAGUCGAGAAUCAUUCACAAUGGGGGAAACCCUGAUGGUGCGACGCCGCGUGGGGGAAUGAAGGUCUUCGGAUUGUAAACCCCUGUCAUGUGGGAGCAAAUUAAAAAGAUAGUACCACAAGAGGAAGAGACGGCUAACGCGGUGCCAGCAGCCGCGGUAAUACAGAGGUCUCAAGCGUUGUUCGGAAUCACUGGGCGUAAAGCGUGCGUAGGCUGUUUCGUAAGUCGGGUGUGAAAGGCGGGGGCUCAACCCGCGGACGGCACAUGAUACUGCGAGACUAGAGUAAGUGAGGGGGAACCGGAAUUCUCGGUGUAGCAGUGAAAUGCGUAGAUAUCGAGAGGAACACUCGUGGCGAAGGCGGGUUCCUGGACAUUAACUGACGCUGAGGCACGAAGGCGAGGGGAGCGAAAGGGAUUAGAUACCCUUGUAGUC